AGUGAAGAAUGGACAGCCACAUAGAACUGCGAUUGGGGGAAACAGGAAUAAUCAAAUGGAAAUAGACUGAGUCAGGAAACCUAUCAAGCUCUGUCAACUCAGCUUCUUCAUGUCCUCUCAUUUGGAACAUUUCUUUCUCCAAGGAAGUAUGGAUUUCUGAAGGUCUUGGUUGAAAAAACAAAACUCAGAGGAACUUGGGUACAGCCAUAAAACUACAUAUCUACCACCUGUUGACAGCUGAAUUCUACCCGAAAGUGCUUCUAAAAGGGACUCAGAGCAUGAUAAGUAAGCAGGAUGCUUUGAAAUACCAAACUGAAUAAUCGUUAAGUAGCAACCUAAUCUAAUUUUUUCUUUUUUUUGACUUGCAAAAAUAUUGCUUUAAAACAAAUAGUGUUCUUAGACAGAGGGCAAAUAUAUUUAUCUUUCCAACCAUAAUAAAAGCUGUCAGUUAUCAAGUGCCUUUUCUGUACCCAUGUGUCAGAUACUUAUAAAUCUUUCUUCAAAUUCAUUAACUUUAAUGGUUGCUUUAUUUAAUCCUCACUAUUUUAGGAGAUAGGUAUUAUUGUGUUCAUGUUAUAGUUGCUGAAAACCAAAACUCAUACAAAUUAAGUUUCUUUUCUGACUCUUAAGUAGCAGAACCACAUGGCCUUUUUAAAAAGAUCACAUAACAAAUAUUUAUUAAAUCCCCUUUGUAUUAGCAUUGUGUGUCGUGUGCUAGGAAUAAUACCAAUGAAAAAUACACUGUGGUCCCACCGCUCAAAGAAGCUUAUAUUCUAGUUGAAUGCCAUGAAGCAAAACAUUGUGAAUGUGAUGAAUCUCACAAAAGAGGAAACACAGGAUAUGAAGGGGGAGGUAAUCAGGUCUGUGGCAUCUGUCCUGUGGUCAAGACAGUUAAACUGAGCUCUGAAGCAUGAGCAGGAAUUAACUAGGCAAAGACUGGUCAUGGAAGAUGAUUGCUAGUAGAGGGAAGGGUAUGUGCUAAGGCAGUGAGAUGACAUUUUGCUAUACCCGUUCACUACAACCGACUAUUCACAACUUUGGUUUGAAACAGUAAGCAUUUAUUCCUCCAACAUGGGCCUGUGGGUCAGCUACAACUGGCAGAGCUUGGCUGGCCUCCAAGGUUCAGGUCUCCCUUGUACGUGACUCAUCCUGUGUUGACCAAUAGCUUCUUGAAACAUAUUCCCUACAUAGCACAUGACAGGAGCCCGAGAGCCCAAAUGAAAUCACGCAAGUGCAUUUAAGUCCUCUUAAAAAUGUUCAGGAACACUCCGUUGGCUAACAUAGGCCAUAUGGCCCAGCCCAAAAUCAAUGGGAUGGGGAAAAUAUUUUACCCAUAGCUGAUGGUAUUUUGGAGAAAUGUAGAUGAAUAUGGAUAAAUUAUUUAAUACAGGAAAGAUGUGAAAAAUUGUGAACAAUGAUCUAUCAACCACAUCUAGGUUUUUCAAGGAAUUAAUUGCCAAUAUGGCUAAAGAAUAGUGAGCCAGGGAGUGAGUGCACUGGUUGAUCUUAUAAUUGGCUGUCCUUGGGAACUUCUUAUUAUAGAGAUUUUAUAUAUAAAAUACAGAGAUUAUAUAUUCUAUAUAAAACAAGCAUUAUACAUAUAUAAAACAAAAAUAUGCUCACUUCAAAAA